rnacentral:lncRNA from 1 species
UUUUAUGGGAAGGUAGUUCUCUCUUGUUGACAUUCCACAGUUUGUUCAUCCAUUCAUCAGUUAAUGACAUUUGGGUUCUUCUUUAGAGCUCUUUUAAAUAACAGUUUUGUUGUGCAUUUAUGUUCAGAUUUUUUUGUGUGACUAUCUCUUCUAGUUCCUCUGAGAUUGGCCAGGUUUAACUUUUUGAGGACUAGCCUAGUCACUGUUGAGAGCAUCUGUACCUCAUCUACAUUCCUGCUAGCUGCCUGUGAGGGCAGCUGUGCCAGUUAGACCAGCUAAGUGUUCUCCAUCCCUACUGCUUUGGCCACCUUAGUAACAUUCUCUUGUCUUCUUGUAAGGACUUCAUUAUUCCUCAGUUCCUCCUUCUCCCCCUUUGGAUUUUGACACUUACUGGAGUCAGCAGUGCACUAGAUACUUCCACACUGAGAACUUCAUAUGGAGAAUUAAUUAGGCAUGAGAAGACUGAAAAGACAACACUGAAAUACAAUAUAACAUCAAGAAGUGGCUACCACUCCUGAUAGUCAGGGAUUGCAGCAAUGAUUUGGGGGAUAUUGUAAUUAAAAAUUCAAAGUCUUCACCUGCAACUAUCGCUGGUACCUCUGAGUGUGUGUGCUGAGCUGAAGCAGUAUCUGGAAGGGCAAAAAAAUAGCUCUCCCGUUCCACAGUUCAUUCCAAUGCUUGCAGUCAGGUUGGAGAGUCUGAGUGCCCCUUCUUACCUAGAAACGUUUCAGAGGUGACUGGACAGUGUAAAGUGCGGCUCUUAAGAGCUGUGUUUAAGACUCUCGGAAGCUGGUUUUUGCUUCAUUGUUACUCUCUGCUAUUUGCCUUUAUCUUCACUAAGCUAAGACCAACUGAACUCUUUGAAUCUACAAUACUCAGUGUGGUAUUUCAUGUUUGUACGUUUUCUCUGCUCCUGUCUUGAGUGACCUUCUCUCCCCUGUCUUUAAGUCACAUAGGCAAAGUUGACCUCUUGUAUGGUACCAUUCCACUUUGUCCUGCUUAGUGUUAACAUUUAUUUCUAUUUGCUUAAUUGCUUAAAUGCAUUUCUUUUCCACUGGAUCUGCUUCCUCCAUAUACAGAUUGAGCUGGUUGUGGUGGUACACACCUGUAGUUCUAUCACUUGGAAGAGUGAGGCAGGAGGAUUUUGAAUUUGAGAACAGUCUGGGCUACAUAGUGAUACUGUGUCAGAGAAAAAAAACAAAACAAAACAACAACAACAACAACAAAAAACCACCAGGCAGACAUGGUAGUGCAUGGCUUUAAUCCCAACACUUGGAAGCAGAGGUAGGUCAUCUCUGAGUUCUAGAUAGCCUGUUACACACAGCAACUUCCAGGACUACAUGUUUCAGGGAAAAAUAAACAAAACAAAGAAAAAGAAAGAUAAAACAAAUUUUUUUGCUAUCUUUUUGAAACUAUAUACAAAUUGAGUAUCUUACAUGAAAUGUUUGGAACCAAACAUUUUUCAAAUUUAAUUUCCUAGGAUUUUGGAAUGUUUGUGCAAAUUUUACUGGUUGGACAUCCCUAAUCCAAAAAUUUAGACUUUAGAACAUUUUUGUUUUAGAUUAAGGAGCUGUAAUACCUAGCCCAAAAUGGGACCUUUAGGAUUGCAGUAACUAUUCCUGGAGUAUAUAGCAUAGUAGGUAGGAAUGAAUUUAUAAAUCUAUUAGUGUACUUCACAUUCUCUCCUCUUUUGCAGUUGUUGGAGUUUUUUAAGAGUGUCAUGUACCCUAGGCUGGCCUUAUAUUGAAUUCACUAGACUCUGACCUCAAACUCCUGGUCCCCAUGCCUCAACCUCCCAAGUGAGUUCUGGGAUUACAGAAUGUGUCACCCAAGCCCCAGCCUUGGCUCUUCAAUUCUGUUGUGUUCUGGUAUUAGUCAUAUCCAGCCGCUGUGCAUAUUUCUAGCUACCUUUGAGAACUGAGUGUACAAUCUUUAUAAACAGUGGUAUGGAACACAUCAUUCUUCAAUGGAUUUAAAUAUUUAGAAAGGUAAUAAUAUAAAGUGCUAGACCAUAAACAGAGAAAGUCAAUUUCAUAAUUUUUUCCCAUAGGUGUUACUAAACAGUAAAAAGUACUUGUAAUACAUGCUAAGAAAACAGCAAAUCACUGCAGAAGUAAAUCCCCAAAUAACACAUGAGCUGAUAUUUCAGCAUCCCUAUUCAUAACAAAAGACAAAGGCACAGCCUGAAGGUAGAUUGGAUAAGACAGUACCUGUAAUAAGCUUAUUACCCUGUUUGCAUAUAAGUAAGGGCUCAGUACACAUCAGCUGCUGUAAUUACUAUUAAUAGUAAUAGGAGUCCUUUCAGUGAAAGCCUCAUUACCUUUUAAGUUUCUGUUCACUGUUGCCUGUCUUCCCAAGUUGAUUAUUCUAAAAAAUGAGCAUACUAAAUAUAAUUGAGUUGCACUAGAAAACCACAGGCCUUUCUGGUCAUUGAGUUUUUCUUUCCUUGAGUGAUCUCCCACCUCGACCCCAAUUCCUCUUAAUGGUUCUACAGAUAAAGUUUAUGUUCAUUAAAGCAUAAAGGCCGGCAAACAAACACUUUUUAAAAAGCCAUACAAGUU